GGGGAGUAGCCAAAUGUGAGACUGGAGAAGGUAACAGAUCAGGAGGUCUUAGGGACCACACAGCAGAAAAUUGGAGGCAGAAUGACCAUAUUUUACAGAUUGGUUUGCGCCUUCGUGCCCUCAUGCCUUUACUCAGACCAUUCUCGCUCCUGGAAAUGCACUCUGGAAGUGAAGGCUGACAACAUCCUGCUGAAUUUUCAGGGCUCAGUUCAGGGUUUUCCUUCAGAGUACGGGAAGAAGAAGCACUUCCUUCCACCACUCUCCUGGAACAUGCUGUAUCUACUUCUUUAAUAGGACUUAACACUCCACUGUGUUUGCACUUAACACUUUGUCAUUGUAUGUCUGUCUUCCCAGAAAACAGAAUUUUUUAAAAGCAGAAACCCAUAUUGUUUACCUUUAUGUUUCCCUAAUAGUAUCUGGCCUGCAAUAGCCCAUGUUUGUGAAUAAACAACUUACCUUGUGACCUUGCCAGCCCAUCACAGCUCUCUCUCAGGAAGUGAGUAACACCAAACCACCGAUAUAACGGACAAAACUUCUCCUGGGCAGAGAGCUGCUCAUCUGGGCAGGGACCGCCAGGAGAGCACCGGCCUACUGCAGGGUCACCCCCCCUCGCCCAUGAAGCCAUGCCAAAGACCUGCCUUCUCUUCUUCCUCACCAUCUUCUGCACAGGGGUCUCAUUGGAUAUAAUUUUGGAACCGGAUACCAAAGCACUGACUGUCCUCAUUGGGGAGGCUGCUACCUUCCGUUGCAGUGUAACAGGAGGGGACCUGAAGAACUAUCAAAUAAGCUGGUAUAAGAAGAGUGAAGAUAACUCUCUGAUUUUGGUCUCCAAACUAAGCAACAAUUCUAAUGACAAUUUAGGGAAUAAUUUCAAGGUUCUACCUGAGGACCAGCACACCUCCACAGUCUUCCAGCGAGCAGAACAAAUCAAAGAGGAUUUCCAGAGACAGCAAUAACUUUACAUUCCACCCACUGCUCUCCCUGGGGUAGCAAAUCUUCACUGUGAAAUCUGCAAUUCCAGGAGAGCAGAAAGCAAUCUAUCUCCCUCCAAAAACAAGUGGCCAUUUCAGGGAACUGGACACAUUU
rnacentral:lncRNA from 1 species